rnacentral:rRNA from 1 species
AUUGAACGCUGGCGGCAGGCCUAACACAUGCAAGUCGAACGGUAACAGGGAUCAGCUUGCUGAUUCGCUGACGAGUGGCGGACGGGUGAGUAAUGUCUGGGAAACUGCCUGAUGGAGGGGGAUAACUACUGGAAACGGUAGCUAGUACCGCAUAACGUCGCAAGACCAAAGAGGGGGACCUUCGGGCCUCUUGCCAUCGGAUGUGCCCAGAUGGGAUUAGCUAGUAGGUGGGGUAACGGCUCACCUAGGCGACGAUCCCUAGCUGGUCUGAGAGGAUGACCAGCCACACUGGAACUGAGACACGGUCCAGACUCCUACGGGAGGCAGCAGUGGGGAAUAUUGCACAAUGGGCGCAAGCCUGAUGCAGCCAUGCCGCGUGUAUGAAGAAGGCCUUCGGGUUGUAAAGUACUUUCAGCGGGGAGGAAGGGAGUAAAGUUAAUACCUUUGCUCAUUGACGUUACCCGCAGAAGAAGCACCGGCUAACUCCGUG